GGUUGACAGCUUAGGUUGUCAGACUGUAAGAAAAAUCACUUCAUAAAGUUAAGAGAAUUUAAUUUAUUCAGUGAUCAUUAAGUGUUGCACACAUGAGUACCUGAUUUAUACCUAAUACUGUUAUUAAAGCUAGAGGCUAGGGGCUGUGAAUAAAAGAUGCUAGAGAAAGUUUACCUUCCUCUAGGGAAAUGAAAUACAGAGCUCAAGGUGUUAAAGAAGCAUUCUCAGUGAAACUAUCAUUGCCAUAAAAUAAUUUACAGAGGAAAUUUGUGGUGGGUUUAGGAUGCUCAGAAUGACAAUCCCAUUGUGAUUGCCAUAUUUCUAAAGAUAGUGGUAGAGGUUCACUGGAUUUCAGAAGAAUGGAGGAGCCUUAACUAGAGUUCGGGAAGAAAUGAUAGCCUAGGAGAUAGUUUGCCUCAAUAGAGGGCUAGAGGCAGGCAAGCUUUCACCACUGUCUGGGUACAACAAUAGGUGGGAAAUUAGUUAAAUUUCAGUCUUGGCAGUUCAUAAGUGUCACCCAGAUUUCCUAAAACAGCAAGUCUCAGAAUCUUACCUCAAAACUGUUAAAUAGUUUCUAGGGCAUGAGCUAGCAACAUAUUUUCUCUUUUAAAGCUUCCCCAGUGGUUUUGAUAUUCAGCUAAAGUUGAAAACUCCUGGAUUUGAAGUCGGAGAGCCAAGAAUGCCCUGCCUAGGUGUCUGGCAACUUCAGCAGUAAUUUCAGCCAAUUUGCAUUUAAUGGAAGAAGACCAUUGUCUGCUCAUGUAUAUAUCUAACUCAUAAUAGUAAGUGAGGUUAUGUGUAUGAGGAAUAUGACCUUUAACAUAAUCAUUAUGAAGCAUUUAAUAACCUCCCAUAUAUGUGGUAAUACAGCCUCAGUACUGCAGGAUCAUUCCAAGGAGUCAGAGUCAUGUAUAUAAGGUAGUUAGUUGUUGGCAUACUGUUCUCCAGUGUGAAGUUGAAAUUGAAGCAAUAUUCUAAAUCAUGUUGUGCAUUUUAAUGUUUUGGGUUAGUUAAAUUGGGCAAUCACUUACUUUCCUGGUGACAGAUCUGUAUUUGCUUCCCAGCCGUAGCACCUGUCUUCCUCAUGCAUAUGCUUUUCUCUCACAUGUAUCUAUGACUAGUGCAUCCCUUUGCUACAAACUUUCCAAAAUUAGUGUUGGUUAAUAUUGCAUGUUCUUAGCACUAGUGAACCAGAAUGCAUUGCCAUGCUUUUGCCACUUCCCUGGUCAAAGUAUAUCUUGGCAGUACACUGAGUAUUUCCUGCCAUUUGUCAGAAGCAGCCAUUAGCACCUAUGCUGCAAGAAAUAGGUCUGAACUCUGGUAUAUGCUCAUUGCCAAUGAGGAUAGUAAGGUACUAAGUAGCAGUAUAAUGUACUGGACUAGAGUUAAUGUCCUCAAUCUCUGAACUAUUGUGUCUGUAAUUUGAAGGUUAGAGCAAGGUUGGCCUUUUGUAAAUGUUUUCACAAAAAUGCUUUCAAAAAUGUUUUCAGGUUUCUGGGAAACUUUAAUGGUUUACAGGAUAGAACACACUGAAAGAUAGUUACUACUACUCUAAUCCAUUUGUGUUCCCUUCUUGUAUACAUGAAAGAGGUGAGAAAUUUGGGGCACCCAUUAAAUUGUAAGGACAGUAUUAGGACUCUAGUGGUAGUGAUACUGAGACAUGCCAGGGUCAUACAGAGACUUACAUAAAGCUUUUACCUGAUUAAGAUUCAGUCUCCAUUGGGUUACUGCCUGUCAAAGUAGAGGAGUAGAGCUGUUUAGACUUCAAAUCUGAAUGUAGAAGAGUACACCUCCUUGGUCUUGAGUUCCUAAGAGAUCUACCAUACUAAUCCAUGGCAAAGAGCACUCCCUGGUCCUGAGAUGGUAACUCCACCCUUGCUCCUAAUGCUAGCACUACCUGCUUCCUAGGUCAAGUGGGCAGAUGUCUCUACUAGGGACAGGCUAGGUGACAUGCAAGGGAGGAAUGGAUUUAGGAAGCAUACAAAACAUGUAAGGCAGAGACUCCCAGGUAUGACUCCUGGAGCCACAUUUGGACCAUAAAUGUAUUUUAUUUUACCUGUAUGCUAGUUUUUGUUUUGUUUGUUUUCAAAGCAUCAGUUAGUUAUUAAGUAGUGUUAUUUUAACUGUUAACUAAUUUAAUGCAUAAAUCUAGAUGGAUUCUAAUGAAAACUGGAAGAUGAGUUCUGUACCUGGUCCUGUUCUUUCAUGGACAGCUGUCAUAUCAUCUGCAAAUAGUGAUACUUUUACUUUUUCCUUUCCAAUUUGUAUCCCUUUGAUAUCCUUUAGUUGUCUUAUUGCUCUAGUUAGAGCUAUGAGUACUAUAUUGAAUAGAUAGUGGACAGCCUUGUCAUUCCUGAUUUUAGUGGAAUUGCUUUGAUUUUCUCUGCAUUUAAGAUGAUGUUGGCUAUAGGCUACUGUAAAUUGCCUUUAUUAUGAUUAGGUAUGUCCCUUGUAUUGCUGUCUCUCCAAGACUUUAUCAUGAAGGAGUGUUGCAUUUUGUCAAAGGCUUUGUCAGCAUCGAAAGAGGUGAUCACGUGAUUUUUCUUUCAGUUUGUUUCUAUGGUGGAUUACAUUGACAGAUUUCCAUAUGUUGAACCAUCCCUGCAUCUCUGGGAUGAAGCCUACUUGAUCAUAAUGGACUAUCGUUUUCAUGUGUUCUUGGAUUCAGUUUGUAUUUUAUUGAUCAUUUUUGCAUUAAUGUGUAUGAGGGAAAUUGAUCUGUAAUUCUCUUUCCUUGUUGAGUCUUUGUGUGGUCUGGGCUUCAGGGUGACUGGCCUCAUAAAAUGAAUUUGACAAGGUUCCUUCUGUUUCUAUUGUGUGGAAUAAUUUGACGAGUAUUGGCAUAAGAAGAGUAUUAGCUCUUCUUUGAAAGUCUGGUAGAAUUCUGCAUUAAAACUAUUUGGUCCUGGACUUUUUUUAGUUGGGAGACUUUUAAUGACUACUUCUGUUUUCUUUGGGACUAUAUACUAUAGGACUAUUUAAAUUGUUUAUCUGAUCUCAAUUUAACAUUGGUAAGUGGUAUCUAAUGAGAAAGUUGUCCAUUUCUUUUAAAUUUUCCAGUUUUGUGGAAUAAAGGUUUUAAAAGUAUGGCCUAAUGAUUCUUUGGCUUUCCUUGGUGUGGUAUCUGUUAUGUACCCCCUUUUAUUUCUGAGUUUUGUUAAUUUGGAUAUUCUCUAUCUUUUAGUUAGUUUGUCUAUCCUGUUGAUUUUCUUAAAGAACCAACUCUGUUUCAUUGAUACUUUGUAUUGUUCUCUUUGUUUCUAUUUUAUUGAUUUCAGCCCUCAGUUUACUUCCUGCUGUCUAUUCCUCUUCGGUGUGUUUGCUUCUUCUUGUUCUAGAGCUUUCAGAUAUGCUGUUAAGUUACUAGUAUGAGAUUUCUCCAAUUUCUUUAUGUAGACACUUAGUGCUAUGGAUUUUCCUCUGGGCACCACUUUCAUUGUGUCCCAUAAGUUUGGGUACAUUGUGUAUUCAUUUUCAUUAAAUUCUAGAAGUCUUUCAUUUCUUUCUUUAUUUCUGCCUUGACCCAGUAGCCAUUCAGUAGAGAGCUGUUCAGUUUCCAUGAGUUUAUAGGCUUUCUGUUUCUGUUGUUGAUAUCCAGCUUUAAUCCAUGAUGGCCUGAUAGAAUACAAUGGGGUAUUCCAAUUUUCUUUUAUCUGUUGAGCCUUGCUUUGUGACCAAGUACAUGGUCAUUUUUGGAAAUAUUCUGUUAGGUGCUGAGAAGAAGGUAUGUUCUUUUGUGUUUGAGUGAAAUAUUCUGUAGAUAUCUGUUAGGCCUUGGUUUAUAAUAUCUGUUAGUUCCAGUAUUUCUCUGUAUAGUUUUUGUCUGGAUGAUGUGUCUGCUGGUGAGAGUGGGGUAUUGAAGUCUCCCACUAUCAAUGGUUAUUAUGUGAUUUAGGUUUUAUUAAUGUUUCUUUUACAAAUGUAGGUGCCUUUGUGUUUGGGACAUAGAUGCUAAGAAUUGAAAUGUCAUCUGGUGUAUUUUUCCUUUGAUGAAUAUAAAGUGUCUUUUCCCAUCUCUCUUGGUUAAUUUUUGGUUUGAAGUCUGUUUUGUUAGAUAUUAGAAUAACUUUACCAGCUUGCUUCUUGGGUCCAUUUGCUUGAAAAAUCUUUUCCUUUACUCUGAGGUAAUGUCUACCUUUGAUGUUGAGGCAUGUUUCUUGUAUGCAUCAGAAGGAGGUAUCAUGUUUUCACAUCCAUUCUGUUAGCCUGUAUCUUUUCUAUUUUGGUGGUGUGUGUGGGGGGGGGGGAGUUGAGUCCAUUGAUAUUGAGAGAGAUUAAUAGC
ensembl:lncRNA